GGAAUAUUGGACAAUGGGGGGAACCCUGAUCCAGCCAUGCCGCGUGAGUGAAGAAGGCCUUAGGGUUGUAAAGCUCUUUCACCGGGGAAGAUAAUGACGGUACCCGGAGAAGAAGCCCCGGCUAACUCCGUGCCAGCAGCCGCGGUAAUACGGAGGGGGCGAGCGUUGUUCGGAAUUACUGGGCGUAAAGCGCGCGUAGGCGGAUUGUUAAGUCGGGGGUGAAAUCCCGGGGCUCAACCCCGGAACUGCCUUCGAUACUGGCAGUCUAGAGGUCGAGAGAGGUGAGUGGAAUUCCGAGUGUAGAGGUGAAAUUCGUAGAUAUUCGGAGGAACACCAGUGGCGAAGGCGGCUCACUGGCUCGAUACUGACGCUGAGGUGCGAAAGCGUGGGGAGCAAA
rnacentral:rRNA from 1 species